AACUCCACCCCACCUACAUGUUGAAGGAUUGAUGUGCCACACAGCAGAGCUGAACGUAAACAGUGAUCUUGAAGUAACCACUUCAUCCUGCUCAGGAUUGAGGAGGAUCCAGAGUUUAUCCAGGAUUAAUGGGCAAGAGGCAAGAAUAUAUCUUACAUCAGUCCAUCACAGGAGACCACGGACACACACACAGACA